rnacentral:rRNA from 1 species
UUCGAUUAAGCCAUGCGAGUCGCGAGUCUUAGGGACUCGGCGUACCGCUCAGUAACACGUGGGUAACCUGCCCUAUGCUGGGGAAUAACCUCGGGAAACUGAGAAUAAUGCCCCAUAGUUCACCACGCCUGGAACGGUGGGUGGAUGAAAGCUCCGGCGGCAUAGGAUGGGCCUGCGGCGUAUCAGGUCGUAGGGGGUGUAAUGUACCCUCUAGCCAUCGACGCGUACGGGUGUUGGGAGACAUUGCCCGGAGAUGGAUUCUGAGACACGAAUCCAGACCCUACGGGGUGCAGCAGGCGCGAAAACUUGGCAAUGCGAGAAAUCGUGACCAGGGAACUCCAAGUGCAUCGGGUAAGACCGAUGCUUUUCUUGACUCUCCAAAGGUCUUGGAAUAAGGGGUGGGUAAGGACGGUGCCAGCCGCCGCGGUAAUACCGGCGCCUCAAGUGGUAGUCGCUUUUAUUGGGCCUAAAACGUCCGUAGCCGGUUUGGUACAUUCGUGGGUAAAUCAAGGCGCUCAACGUCUUGAAUUCUGCGAGCACGGCCAGACUUGGGACCGGGUGAGGUGUGGGGUACUCUCAGGGUAGGGGUAAAAUCCUGUCAUCCUGAGAGGACCACCUGUUGCGAAGGCGCCACACUAGAACGGAUCCGACGGUCAGGGACGAAGCCUAGGGGCACGAACCGGAUUAGAUACCCGGGUAGUCCUAGGUGUAAACGCUGUGGACUUGAUGUUGGGAGUGCUCCGAGCACCCUCAGUGUCGAAGCGAAGGUGAUAAGUCCACUGCCUGGGGAGUACGGUCGCAAGGCUGAAACUUAAAGGAAUUGGCGGGGGAGCACUGCAACCUGAGGAUUGUGCG